GCAUGGGCUUGGAUUUAUGGCAGGCCCAUCCCCCUGGGUCUCUCAUAGUGCCCCAUGCCAGAGCACUGUGACUCGGUACCAUUGCCUGGCCUCUGCUUGUGGGCUGCAGGCACUGAAGCAGGCUGAACAGUG